UUCUACAUGGCAUGCACACGAUACACGCGCACUACACGCAUAAGCUGACGAUCUCGAGACUUUAACGAAACCACUGAAAAUAACGUCCCAUGACUAUCGAACCGGUGUUCCGACGGAUUGAAAACCAGACCGGUAAGAUAUUGUUUAACGUGGAACAAGCGAUUUUAUAAAAAAAAAAAAGAAAAAAAUUGAAUAUACACGGGUCGUCGUAUACGUGUAAAUCUUUCCGAUAUUUGCCAACGUCGCGGUAAAUUAUAUUACAGACAAUAAUGUAUACUCGUACUAU